rnacentral:lncRNA from 1 species
UGUGCCUCUACAGACCUCUGAAAAUCACCUAGGCAGUGUGGAGCCACAAAUAGAGGCUUUCAAAUUUUAAUUCCAGCUAUACUCCUGAAGUAUGUGCAUUUGGGCAUUAUUUCAAGCUGAUACAAUGGAUAUACUCUCCAUUCUUUCCAAUAACCUCUUCAAGUUCUUCUACUGUGUAAGGCCCAUUUCAGCUCCAGAACUGUGGUCAACCGACUUAUAAGUAGAUAAUUUGACUUUGUAAAAGAAGCAUCGUUAUCUUCAUCUGCUGCUGCUAAGUCACUUCAGUUGUGUCCAACUCUGUGCAACUCCAUAGACCGCAGCCCACCAGGCUUCCCCGUCCCUGGGAUUCUCCAGGCAAGAACACUGGAGUGGGUU